rnacentral:rRNA from 1 species
UACGAACCGUCCAAACGUUAUUCGGAAUCACUGGGCUUAAAGGGUGCGUAGGCGGCCCGGUAAGUUGGGUGUGAAAUCCCUCGGCUCAACCGAGGAAUGGCGCUCAAAACUGCCGGGCUUGAGGGAGACAGAGGUGAGCGGAACUCAGGGUGGAGCGGUGAAAUGCGUUGAUAUCCUGAGGAACACCGGUGGCGAAAGCGGCUCACUGGGUCUCUUCUGACGCUGAGGCACGAAAGCUAGGGGAGCGAACGGGAUUAGAUACCCCAGUA